UACGGGGGGGGCAAGCGUUGUUCGGAAUUACUGGGCGUAAAGGGCUCGUAGGCGGCCAACUAAGUCCGACGUGAAAUCCCCAGGCUUAACCUGGGAACUGCGUCGGAUACUGGAUGGCUUGAAUUCGGGAGAGGGAUGCAGAAUUCCAGGUGUAGCGGUGAAAUGCGUAGAUAUCUGGAGGAAUACCGGUGGCGAAGGCGGCGUUCUGGACUGUAACUGACACUGAGAGACGAAAAGCCAGGGUAGCAAACGGGG
rnacentral:rRNA from 1 species